rnacentral:rRNA from 1 species
UGGAGCAUGUGGUUUAAUUCGAAGCAACGCGAAGAACCUUACCAGGUCUUGACAUCCCGAUGCUAUUUCUAGAGAUAGAAAGUUACUUCGGUACAUCGGUGACAGGUGGUGCAUGGUUGUCGUCAGCUCGUGUCGUGAGAUGUUGGGUUAAGUCCCGCAACGAGCGCAACCCCUAUUGUUAGUUGCCAUCAUUCAGUUGGGCACUCUAGCGAGACUGCCGGUAAUAAACCGGAGGAAGUGGGGAUGACGUCAAAUCAUCAUGCCCCUUAUGACCUGGGCUACACACGUGCUACAAUGGUUGGUACAACGAGUUGCGAGUCGGUGACGGCGAGCUAAUCUCUUAAAGCCAAUCUCAGUUCGGAUUGUAGGCUGCAACUCGCCUACAUGAAGUCGGAAUCGCUAGUAAUCACGGAUCAGCACGCCGCGGUGAAUACGUUCCCGGGCCUU